UACCAGCACCCCGAGUGGUCGGGACGUUUAUUGGGCCUAAAGCAUCCGUAGCCGGUUCUACAGGUCUUCCGUUAAAUCCACCUGCUCAACAGAUGGGCUGCGGAAGAUACUAUGGAGCUAGGAGGCGGGAGAGGCAAGCGGUACUCGAUGGGUAGGGGUAAAAUCCGUUGAUCCAUUGAAGACCACCAGUGGCGAAGGCGGCUUGCCAGAACGCGCUCGACGGUGAGGGAUGAAAGCUGGGGGAGCAAACCGG
rnacentral:rRNA from 1 species